rnacentral:rRNA from 1 species
AUACAUAAGUGGCGCACGGGUGAGUAACACGUGGGAACUGCCCAUCAGUCUGGAAUAACCAGGUGAAACUUUGGCUAAUACCGGAUAUUCCCUCCGGGGGAAAGAUUUAUCGCUGAUGGAUGGGCCCGCGGUGGAUUAGCUUGUUGGUGGGGUAAAAGCCCACCAAGGCGACGAUCUAUAGCUGGUUUGAGAGGACGAUCAGCCACACUGGGACUGAGACACGGCCCAGACUCCUACGGGAGGCAGCAGCUAGGAAUAUUGCGCAAUGGGGGAAACCCUGACGCAGCCAUGCCGCGUGAGUGAAGACGGCUUUCGGGUUUGUAAAGCUCUUUCGAUGGUGAAGAUGAUGACUGUAGCCAUAGAAGAAGCCCCGGCUAACUUCGUGCCAGCAGCCGCGGUAAUACGAAGGGGGCUAGCGUUGUUCGGAAUUACUGGGCGUAAAGGGCUCGUAGGCGGCUUGUUUAGUCAGGGGUGAGAUCCUGAGGCUCAACCUCAGAACCGCCUUUGAUACUGACAGGUUAGAGCAUGAUAGAGGGUGGCGGAAUUCCCAGUGUAGAGGUUAAAUUCGUAGAUAUUGGGAGGAACACCGGUGGCGAAGGCCGGCACCUAGGGUCAUUGCUGACGCUCAGGAGCGAAAGCGUGGG